rnacentral:rRNA from 1 species
GACGAACGCUGGCGGCGUGCCUAAUACAUGCAAGUCGAACGCUUCUUUUUCCACCGGAGCUUGCUCCACCGGAAAAAGAGGAGUGGCGAACGGGUGAGUAACACGUGGGUAACCUGCCCAUCAGAAGGGGAUAACACUUGGAAACAGGUGCUAAUACCGUAUAACAAUCAAAACCGCAUGGUUUUGAUUUGAAAGGCGCUUUCGGGUGUCGCUGAUGGAUGGACCCGCGGUGCAUUAGCUAGUUGGUGAGGUAACGGCUCACCAAGGCCACGAUGCAUAGCCGAACUGAGAGGGUGAUCGGCAACAUUGGGACUGAGACAAGGCCCAAACUCCUACGGGAGGCAGCAGUAGGGAAUCUUCGGCAAUGGACGAAAGUCUGACCGAGCAACGCCGCGUGAGUGAAGAAGGUUUUCGGAUCGUAAAACUCCGUUGUUAGAGAAGAACAAGGAUGAGAGUAACUGUUCAUCCCUUGACGGUAUCUAACCAGAAAGCCACGGCUAACUACGUGCCAGCCGCCGCCGUAA